rnacentral:rRNA from 1 species
GACGAACGCUGGCGGCGUGCUUAACACAUGCAAGUCGAACGGAAAGGCCCUGCUUUUGUGGGGUGCUCGAGUGGCGAACGGGUGAGUAACACGUGAGUAACCUGCCCUUGACUUUGGGAUAACUUCAGGAAACUGGGGCUAAUACCGGAUAGGAGCUCCUGCUGCAUGGUGGGGGUUGGAAAGUUUCGGCGGUUGGGGAUGGACUCGCGGCUUAUCAGCUUGUUGGUGGGGUAGUGGCUUACCAAGGCUUUGACGGGUAGCCGGCCUGAGAGGGUGGACGGCCACAUUGGGACUGCGAUACGGCCCAGACUCCUACGGGAGGCAGCAGUGGGGAAUAUUGCACAAUGGGCGGAAGCCUGAUGCAGAAACGCCGCGUGCGGGAUGACGGCCUUCGGGUUGUAAACCGCUUUCGCCUGUGACGAAGCGUGAGUGACGGUAAUGGGUAAAGAAGCACCGGCUAACUACGUG